CCUACGGGUGGCAGCAGUUAGGAAUAUUGGGCAAUGGAGGAAACUCUGACCCAGCAACGCCGCGUGAAGGAAGAAGGUUUUCGGAUUGUAAACUUCUGAUCUGUGGGAAGAAAAAAAUGACGGUACCACAGGAGAAAGCCACGGCUAACUACGUGCCAGCAGCCGCGGUAAUACGUAGGUGGCGAGCGUUGUCCGGAAUAACUGGGUGUAAAGGGGGCGUAGGUGGUUUAUUAAGUUAGGAGUGAGAGCCCAGGGCUCAACGCUGGAAUUGCAUUUAAAACUGGUUAACUAGAGUGCAGGAGGGGGGAAUGGAAUUCCUAGUGUAGCGGUGAAAUGCGUAGAUAUUAGGAAGAACACCGGAGGCGAAGGCGGGUUACUGGACUGCAACUGACACUGAGGCUCGAAAGCGUGGGGAGCAAACAGGAUUAGAUACCCUUGUAGUC
rnacentral:rRNA from 1 species